UUGAACGCUGGCGGCAGGCCUAACACAUGCAAGUCGAGCGCGAAAGUUCUUCGGAAUGAGUAAAGCGGCGGACGGGUGAGUAACGCGUGGGAAUCUGCCUAGUAGUGGGGGACAACAGCCGGAAACGGCUGCUAAUACCGCAUACGCCCUACGGGGGAAAGGGGGGGAUCUUCGGACCUCUCGCUAUUAGAUGAGCCCGCGUCGGAUUAGCUAGUUGGUAGGGUAAAGGCCAACCAAGGCUACGAUCCGUAACUGGUCUGAGAGGAUGAUCAGUCACACUGGAACGGAGACACGGUCGAGACUCCUACGGGAGGCAGCAGUGGGGAAUAUUGGACACUGGGGGCAACCCUGAUCCAGCCAUGCCGCGUGUGUGAAGAAGGCCUUAGGGUUGUAAAGCACUUUCAGUGGGGAGAAAGGUUUGUCACCUAAUACGUGAUGAAAUUGAUGUUACCCACAGAAGAAGCACCGGCUAACUCCGUGCCAGCCGCCGCGGUAA
rnacentral:rRNA from 1 species